AACGAACGCUGGCGGCAUGCCUAACACAUGCAAGUCGAACGAGACCUUCGGGUCUAGUGGCGCACGGGUGCGUAACGCGUGGGAACCUGCCUUUAGGUUCGGAAUAACUCAGAGAAAUUUGAGCUAAUACCGGAUAAUGUCUUCGGACCAAAGAUUUAUCGCCUUUAGAUGGGCCCGCGUAAGAUUAGCUAGUUGGUGGGUAAAGGCCUACCAAGGCGACGAUCUUUAGCUGGUCUGAGAGGAUGAUCAGCCACACUGGGACUGAGACACGGCCCAGACUCCUACGGGAGGCAGCAGUGGGGAAUAUUGGACAAUGGGCGAAAGCCUGAUCCAGCAAUGCCGCGUGAGUGAUGAAGGCCUUAGGGUUGUAAAGCUCUUUUACCCGGGAUGAUAAUGACAGUACCGGGAGAAUAAGCCCCGGCUAACUCCGUGCCAGCAGCCGCGGU
rnacentral:rRNA from 1 species